GACGAACGCUGGCGGCGUGCUUAACACAUGCAAGUCGAACGGAAAGGCCCUGAUUUUGCUGCGUUCUCGAGAGGCGAACGGGUGAGUAACACGCGAGUAUCCUCCCCUUGACUUUGGGAUAAAUUCAGGGAAAUCGGGCUAUUACCGCGUAGGAGCUUUUGCUGCACGGUGGUGGUUGGUAAGUUUCGGCGGUUGUGGAUCGACUCGAGGGUUACCAGCUGGUUGGUCUAGUAGUUGCUUACAAGGGCUUUGACGGGUAGCCGGCAUGAGAGGGGGGCCGGCCACAAUAGGACUGAGGUACGGCCCAGACGCCUACGGGAGGCAGCGGUCGGGAGUAUUGCACAAUGGGGGGAAGUCUGAGGCAGCAACGUCGCGUGCGUGAUGACGGCUUUCGGGUUGUAAACCGAUGUCGCAUGUGACGAAGCGUGAGUGACGGUAAUGAGUAAAGAAGCACCGGCUAACUACGUG
rnacentral:rRNA from 1 species